rnacentral:tRNA from 1 species
AGGUCGGUAGCCCAGUUGGUCGAAGGCGGCGGGCUGUAAACCCGCUACGUUAGAUACUACGUUGGUUCAAAUCCAACCCGACCUA